rnacentral:tRNA from 1 species
GGUUCCAUGGUGUAAUGGUUAGCAAGAUGGACUUUGGAUCCAGUGAUCCGAGUUCAAAUUUCGGUGGAAACA